rnacentral:lncRNA from 1 species
AGUAGCAGCAGCGAAGAAGAAGAUAAUGAGGGAGAUGAUGAUGAGGCUCUUCUCGUGCGAAAGUUCAGAAAAUUCAUCAACCGGAAGAAGUCCUUUCAUCAGAGGAGAGGUCCCUCAAGUUCCUACAGCAAGGAUAAAGGUAAGAAAAGGAAAAAUGAAGGAAUCGGAUGCUAUGAAUGCAAGAAGCCGGGACAUUUCAGAGUUGACUGUCCCUUGCUUAAGAAGGGCAGCAA